GCCUUCGUGGUGUAGUUUGUCAGCCCGCUCGACGCGUAUUCAAGAGUCCCGUGGUUCGAUUCCCGGCGAAGGCG
rnacentral:tRNA from 1 species